GUGCCCAGAUGGGAUUAGCUUGUUGGUGAGGUAACGGCUCACCAAGGCGACGAUCCCUAGCUGGUCUGAGAGGAUGACCAGCCACACUGGAACUGAGACACGGUCCAGACUCCUACGGGAGGCAGCAGUGGGGAAUAUUGCACAAUGGGCGCAAGCCUGAUGCAGCCAUGCCGCGUGUAUGAAGAAGGCCUUCGGGUUGUAAAGUACUUUCAGCGGGGAGGAAGGUGUUGUGGUUAAUAACCACAGCAAUUGACGUUACCCGC
rnacentral:rRNA from 1 species